rnacentral:rRNA from 1 species
GUGAAUCAUCGAAUCUUUGAACGCACCUUGCACUCUCUGGUAUUCCGGAGAGUACGUCUGUUCGAGUGUCUUGAAGUUCUCAUAUUACAAGUUUUUCUUUAGAGAAACGCGUAGUGUGGUGUUGGGCAUUGCUGUCUGUAUUAGACUAGCUUGCCUUAAAUGUAUUAGCUGAUCCAUGUUGCAGACCUGGUUCUACUUAGCGUGAUUAAGUUUGAACGCUAAGGACAUCUGGCUUUCGAGCGGGAUGGCCAGGAUUGCCUUAGAUUGCUUCUAACCUGUCCUCUUCGGAGACACUAUUCAAAUUUGACCUCGAAUCAGACGGGACUACCCGCUGAACUUAAGCAUAUCAAUAAGCGGAGG